rnacentral:lncRNA from 1 species
ACAAAUAGUGCUUAUUGUAAGCUGUGGGUCCUAUGGAAUGUAGGGAUAGAAAGUGGGUAGUAAUAGUUUUGGUUCAUACAAAAUGUGUGGAUAAAAAAGUUUGUUUGAUCAGAAGUAAUAAUAAAAUAAUCACCAACCAACAUGCAGUCUUCUGGUUUUUGUCAAUUUAAUCUUAUAUUGUCAUUUUGUGAAAUGUCUUCAGGAUUAUAUACAUCGCGUUGGAAGAACUGCUCGUGCUGGACGCUCUGGGAUUGCAAUAUCAUUGAUCAAUCAAUACGAGAUGGGAUGGUACCUGCAAAUAGAGCAACUUAUUGGUAAGAAACACAUUUAAAUAAUUUCUUGGCGGAGUUAUCCGACCUUUAUUUUCCCUAGACCAAAUAUCGUUUCUGUUUCAGGUAAAAAGUUACCGAAGUACCCUGCUGAGCUGGAUGAGGUGUUGCAACUGUUGGAACGUGUAACCGAGGCCAAAAGAAUAUCUGUGAUGGUAGGCAUUUAGCAUUUUUUUGAUAUCAUAGUUUAGCAUUAGUUCUGCUUAAAAGUUGGUUGCUGAGGUUGAACUCAGGAGUUAGAUAUUCUUGUGAAUCUGUUAAAUUGGUUCACUAAUAGGGCAUGUUUGAUAUGUAGUACUGGACAAGAUUAGGCAAUACAAAUGAAUUAGAUUUUAACCUUUUUUCCUUAAGAAAAUCCACCACCGCCUAUAUUGGAAUUUUUAAGAUCCUACCAAAAUACUGAUGGUGGGUCCCCAUACUUGAGCGAGAUACUUACUUCAAGAUGUUCUAGCACAGAUCAAUCCUUGAGAAACUUAAAGAUGAAGGUACUACUUUUGUUACGGAAGUCAAAAAUAGGAAAACAAAAGCUAGAUUUGUAGUACUACUCCAUUAUUUAACGCCUAGAUCAUUAAACAUUAUGCUACAGCUAAAAAUCACCCUCAAUGCUGUGCAAUUGUUAUUUCUUUGAUCCAAUAUAUUCACCUCGGAUAUAUGGGACAUAUAAGCGACCAAGAUACAAAAUACGAUUAAGUUUAGAUUGGCGUUUAUUGCCUAUCAACACCAUGUAACAUUGCAUGGUGCCCUCAUUAGUUAAAAACCAGCCACCUUAUUCCCUUCUCUAGUUAAUAUCAGAGAUUCUAAAGUUGAAGCCCAACUUGUAUGGGUGAAUUUAAUCACGUUUUGAAUACUCCAAUCCCUGCUGCCAUCUCACUUAUACAUUGCACUGCCACCAAAGAAUCAGAUUCAAUCCAGACGUGUGAGACCAACCUACAACCAAGUCGUAGCCCAUCCAUAAUUGCUCGAAGCUCAGCCACAAGUUGAAACAAAUUUCCUAGAAGUUACAUAAGCUAGAUGACGGAACGGGAAGACCUCGGAUGUAGAAGAUCAUACCACGAGUGAUUUGGCAGGAAACAUUGUCUAAGAUGAUCCCGAAUGAUAACAUAAGAUUUUAAUUCCUUUCUUUGUUAAUAUCAUCCAGUACUGUAAUCCACCUUACCGAACAUACUCUUAGUGCCAUGUGGACUUGACAGUCAUUAUAAUAAGAUGAGGAGUAAUGGGUCCUAGGAAAAGUGCAAAUGUUAAGUAGGUUGUAGCUGUGAAUGCGUGGUUAAAAUUACAGUUUGAAAAUUUCAAGUUCUUAUGAUGAAAUCCUAAACACUGUAUUUCUGAUAUAUUUUAAAUUUUUGCUCAGAUUGCGUUGACAUUAUGGGCGUUCAAUUGAUUUCCUUCGAGUUCCUUGGUUUCUAUGUCGUAUCAUUUAGUUUGACACACUUGGUUGAUGAACCGUUUUAUAAUUUUGUACGAUUGAGAUAUAGCUAUUCUUAUCAUUUUGUUGGACUGUGUUUUCUAGGCAAUAAAUAUAAUAUCAUGAUUUUAUUUCUUAAAUCUUCUGCAGAAAAUCAAAGAAACUGGAGGAAAUAAGAGGCGAAAAGGUGGUGAAGGUGAUGCCCAGGAAGAGAUUGAGAAAUAUUUAGGUCGUAAUAAAGGGAAGUCGUUUAAGAAGACAAAAAGAUGAUGAGAAAAGGAUCAUCUUCAAGGGACUUGUUCUAAUUUGGAUUUCUCAUUUUUGUACUUAAAUUAGUAUAAUUAUGUUUCCUUGCGAGGGAAAAUUUUGUAGGAUAAUUUUGAUCAUAUCUUUUAUGGUUUACAUGAGUCUAAACGUGAAUAUUGGCAUCAAUGCUACAGCCAUAUGUCUACAUAUAUCUAUGACAAAACUGAUUCUAUAUACUGUAAAAGUCAAAAGUCUUGGCCAAAUUCUCACAAGAUUGCCAAAAACCAUAGGGAGAAUUAGGAUUCCAUUUUCCGUAGCAAAUGAUUUACUUUUUUCCUUCCAAAGAAACUUUACAUGAUAAUGGCGUAAGAAUAAUAGUGUAUUAAAUUGUUUACCUCAUCUCACAUGCAAGUAGGUAGGGCUGGGUAAAUCUCUCGAACCGAACCGAUCGAAUUUGACGAUUCUUGUCAAAUUAAAUACCCGAACGGGUAUCUGAAUUGAGAAUCGACGGGUACGGUUCGAUUCUCGGUUCUAGAAAAUCUGUGUGUACCCAAAGCAGCUGCGCGAGAGCACAAAGUGUCGUCAAGUGGAUGAAAGAAAAGGAGGGGAUCUCAUAUGAUUUCGAUGUUAUGCUUUGUUACAUUGGUGGCUUUAAAUUCAAAUACAGAGCUACAUAGAUGUAAAUGAAACUUGAGAGAAAAGGAGGUAUUGAUGAAGGGUAAUGUUUCUGCCAAAGUGACCCACAAAGAUUGUAGCAGAAUAUGCAAAAGGAGUGAAAGAACAUAGACCAUUAAGAAAGUGUCAGUGAUUAUUCACCUGUACUUUUCCGUGCUCCUCUUCACAUUAAUCUGCAGUUUGCAACUUGGAAUAAAUCAGAAUACUUAUUGGGUUGCCAGUCAAAAUGUGAAGCUGCCAUGUUUAACUACGUUUCAGAUUUUAGGUUCUCAGCUCCUCAAUUAGUGGCAGAUCAGGAUGGGCCAGGAGAGAGAGAGAGAGAUAGAGAAAAAAAAAAGUGUUCAUGCUCGACUGAUAUAUCUAUUUGGUUCUUUCAGUGAAUUUCUUGACGAAACUAUCAUUCAUUAUUAUGAUGCUUGGUUCAAGUGUAGAUACAUAUUGUUCUCUAAAGUUUUAGAAUAUUCGAAGCUACUUUAGUUUGUAUUCCUGAUGGAUAUUUGUUUUCUUGUUCAUGCAUUUAUUUGCAGUGCUGACUGUUGAAAAUGACGAUUUUGUUGACCUACUUGUUGUAGGUGGCAACACCUGGCCGUCUUGUUGAUCAUCUCUCUAAUACCAAAGGAUUCUCUCUUCGUGCAUUGAAAUACUUGGUGAGACUCUAUACGCAUUUCAACUUCCAUGACACUCUUCUCCAUGCCCCUUCAGCACCCUCUUUCUAUGCAGCUCUUUUAUAAUUUUGUGAAAUAACACUCUGGACAUUACAAAAUUUGAAUUGAAUGCAAAUUAAGUUUUUAACAUUUCUUAAUAGGUAAUAAAUGUCAUGUGAGCAUGUGAUUAUUUAUUUAUAUGACAGGUACUAGAUGAAGCAGAUAGAUUACUAAAUGAGGAUUUUGAGAAAACGAUUGAUGAAAUUUUGGGCGUUAUUCCUCGUGAGCGAAGAACAUAUUUAUUUUCUGCAACAAUGACUAAAAAGGUAUGCAAGUUAAUGGUCAUGCUGUAAACUUGUGUGUACAUAUGUUCUAUCCAUCAUCAUUAAGUCAUACUUCUGUGACGGUGGAUGUAACACGGUAGUCAACUUUUUUGCAUGUGGCCAUUAUUUUCCUGUUACAUGAUUUCUUAUUCCUUCUUUCUACGUUAAUCUUGUUUGAUAUCAUGCAGAUCACAUACACCUUCCCUCUAGUCAGUCUGCAAAUUGCAUCUUAUAGUUUCAUAAGAUUUGAUUAUAUUGUUUGGUGUUUUUAAUGUUUUGUGAAGAUCUUUUAUAUGCAUUUUUCGUAAUUUUGACCUUGUUUGAUUCUCAUUCUUUGGCCACAAAAAUGAAAAAUAUGACUGUUAUCUAUCACAUCAAAACAGCAUAUUUGACUUCUAUCUCUUGUGUGGAUCCUGUAACGGCUAUAUUUUUCAUUAUCAUUCUUACAAAAGAAUGUUCUUACUUUUUUCUGGUUAACAUUUUUAUGUAUAGAAGAAAAAAUGUUAUUUACAUUUUGCCUUGCUUUUCUUGCUUCUGCAUAUCCUGCAUCUAAAUAUAUUCAAAGUUUUCUGUAGUCAUUUCUUUGAUUCACUCAAUUACUGGAUUUGAAUUGGCAGCAGCCAGCAGAAGCAAAUCGACAGUCACCUAAUUUGUCAUCUGUGUGCAGAGGACCAAAAAGCCCAAUCCAUUUGUUAUAGUGAUAUUUUCUUAGACAGGCCUUAACUGGUUCAAGAGUAAAAGAAAACCUAGAUAGAUUUUUCUUUAUUCUUAUUUGCUGUGGCUAUCGAGUCCUGUUUCUUUGUGCUUCAGGUAGAUGUAAUCAGUUAUUUGCCAGGAAUGGAAUGUAGUGCAAAUAAUCUCAAUUGCCUAAUGAUUUCUGUUUCUCAAUGUAACAGGUGAAAAAGCUCCAGAGAGCUUGUCUAAAAAAUCCUGUAAAGGUAUGUUGUGCGUGUUCUUGCUUGUCAUUUUUAAAAAAUUCUCAUUGAAUAUUUGUCUCAUUUGUUUUUUUAUCCAACAGAUUGAAGCUGCAUCCAAAUAUUCCACUGUUGAUACGCUUAAGCAGCAGUAUUGCUUUGUUCCGGCGAAGUAUAAGGUCUGUACUUUCUAUAGCUUCAAUUUGGCAUACAAGAGACCUCCUAAUGUUGUAUGCCAGUCCUUUGUGAAGCCACUGUAUGAACAUUAAGAUGGUGAUUAUAUGUAUAUGUGUAAUUUUUUCUGGCUAAGGUGGAAAAUAUUGAGUCAACACUUUGGUAAAAAAGUGUGGUUUUAGUUCAUAUUGUGGUUCUUCUAAUGCUAAGUCAUCAUCACUUAAACUAUUAGUCUUCUUACUAUGGGGCACUAUGAUUGUAACAUCCUACAGUAAAACGUUGUCGGAAAAUGGGCACUGUUUAUCUCAUGGCGAGCACAAAAGUUCAACUCCUGGUACCUUUUGAUUGUGGAUUAUUUUUGCGUAAUAGUAAUAGGUUGAGCUUUAGACCUGCCUCAGACCUGCCCAAUUCUGUACUACGUUACAGGGCUUGUGAGUUAAAUGCUACUUAUAGAAUAUGAUUGUUCAACAAAUACGAACAAUAGGGGUAAAACUAUUAUGAAUCUAAUUUUUACUGGUUUGAAUGAACUCGGAGAAUAGUUCAGAAUAAAAGUAUGUUUGGGAAGUGUUUAUGAACCUUUUAAAUUAUAAAUAGAUAGGAAUAAGUGUUGUGAAUAGUACUUGUUUAUCCCUCGAAAUGUGAGGAUAUAAUGUGAUUGGAGUACUUAUAAAGAGUUUAUUUACAUUAGCCAAACAUAGGCUAAGUAAAAUAGAACCCUUUUUUGUGUCUGUUCUCCAUACCGUGUUUCUGCAAUUGUACUUAUAUUAAAGUAAAAGUUGCAAGGUAUUCUUUGCUAAAUUAUUUUAUAUUGUUCUUCUUUGGGUUUUGAUUUACAUCUUUUAUUUGCUGCAGGAGUGCUAUCUUGUUUUUAUUCUCACCGAGAAGCCAGAAAGUACAUCUAUGGUUUUUACUCGAACAUGUGAUGCAACUGUUCUUUUGGCUUACCUUCUUCGGAACCUUGGCUUUAGAGCCAUUCCGAUUAGUGGUCAUAUGAGCCAGGUAUUAUUUAAAUAUCUUACUAACAGAUUUGCUGAAGUACUACUUGUGUGUUACACAUGGAAACAGUCCAUUUUUGCAAUAUAGUCUGUUUCCAUGCGCUUUCACAUUCAUUUCGCUUUUAUUUGCAGGCAAAAAGACUUGGAGCCUUAAACAAAUUCAAGUCUGGAGAGUGCAACAUACUCAUCUGUACUGAUGUUGCCAGUAGAGGACUUGAUAUCCCAUCUGUAGAUAUGAUUAUCAACUACGAUAUCCCCAUCAACUCAAAGGUUAAGCUUUAUUCUUCGUGGUCUAUAAACUAUGUUCUUGUUCCAAAGAUGUCUGUUUUCCUCAAUAUCCAAUUUCUGAGUUCUCAUUUCAUGUUGACUGGCUAUUGUUAGCUCAACUUGUCCAACAUUUUACUGCUUUCAUCCCUUCCAUCUUAUUUAUGUAAAAUGCAAGUUAAUAACUUGUAAUAUAAUUUUCUUCUCUGGCUACUAAAAAAAUAUUUUGUUUGUUGAAAAAACAAAAAGAUAAUUAUUAAGUAGAAUCGCACAAGACUGCAAGAAGAAGAGUGGAUAGAAAAACCUAAUCUGUGAAUAAAUCUCUCCAAAUCAUUUGUAGACUCACUUAUUAUGACCAAAUGACCAAAUGAUCAUCAUAUGUCUGGCCCAUAAACACAGUCUGGUGUACCUAUAAUGGCAUGUCGUAUUUUCUCAUUAUUGUUGCUAUUGUGAGGUUGGGAAAACUGAGCUGAAAUGAUAUGUCUGCUGCUUCUUACCAUCUACUGUAGUAUUAUAGACUUGUAGCUAACUUAUAUAAUGUUAUGUAUAAUUUUAAUGUUUUGAAAUCUAAAUUGCUCUUCAAGGUUUCUUCCUCCAUACCAUCUCUUUACCAGCAUUCGUGCUUAAUGUUUCAGCACUUCUUAGUGCCUUUGGUCAGCGCUUGCCCUCUUUUAAUGUUUGUUACAUUCUUGAGGUACUAUCAUCAAGAUAUGAAUUCUCUGCUGUCAAAUAAAAAGUGUACUGGCUAGAAUCCUACAAAUAGUGCUUAUUGUAAGCUGUGGGUCCUAUGGAAUGUAGGGAUAGAAAGUGGGUAGUAAUAGUUUUGGUUCAUACAAAAUGUGUGGAUAAAAAAGUUUGUUUGAUCAGAAGUAAUAAUAAAAUAAUCACCAACCAACAUGCAGUCUUCUGGUUUUUGUCAAUUUAAUCUUAUAUUGUCAUUUUGUGAAAUGUCUUCAGGAUUAUAUACAUCGCGUUGGAAGAACUGCUCGUGCUGGACGCUCUGGGAUUGCAAUAUCAUUGAUCAAUCAAUACGAGAUGGGAUGGUACCUGCAAAUAGAGCAACUU